UCGACUCACACCACUUAAAAUCCCUUGGAGUAGCAAAACCCUGAAUUUUGCUACUCUUCUUUUCUUGGCAGCCGAAACGCAAAACACAAACUCAUAUACAAAGAAGAGCCAGCCGCAACCUUCAUAAAUUCACCACCACAGCUUCUCCGUCGGCUUGUCACUGCUCCACACUACUAAUCCAUACACAAAGAGAAGAGAAAGCCAUACACCAAGCUAAAAAAAGCCGCCUUCUUGUAAGUGGGGAUAUAACAGAUGGGUGUUGAGUUAACCCAUCAAUAUACAGAAUAUAUAGCAAUGGAGGAUCAAGAGGAGGUGGAGGAAGGUGUUAGUAUUACUGAUUGGGAUUUAGUUUAUCAUGUUAGAGAUGCCCUUUUAUCUGUUAAAA